rnacentral:rRNA from 1 species
GACGAACGCUGGCGGCGUGCUUAACACAUGCAAGUCGAACGGAAAGGCCUGCUUUCCCUUGUGGAUUGCGGGUACUCGAGUGGCGAACGGGUGAGUAACACGUGAGUGAUCUGCCCCCAACUUGGUUAUAAGCCUGGGAAACUGGGUCUAAUUCCCGAUAGGACUGCAGGGUGGUGCCUGUGGUGGAAAACGAUUUUCUAGUGGUUGGGGAUGAGCUCGCGGCCUAUAAGCUUGUUGGUGGGGUAAUGGCCUACCAAGGCGGCGACGGGUAGCCGGCCUGAGAGGGUGGACGGCGACAUUGGGACUGAGAUACGGCCCAGACGCCUACGGGAGGCAGCAGUGGGGAAUAGUGCACAAUGGGCGGAAGCCUGAUGCAGCGACGCCGCGUGGGGGAUGACGGCCUUCGGGUUGUAAACUCCUUUCGACCGCGAGGAAGCCACCUGGUUGGAAGGGUGGUGACGGUAGUGGUAGAAGAAGCACCGGCUAACUACGUG